rnacentral:lncRNA from 1 species
AAGGACACCCAGCCAUAGAAAAGACCUGCGGAUGCCCCUGGAGAGGCACAGGAAGGACUGGGUGAAGGUCUCAAGCAGACAGCAGAUUCCUGAGGUGGAUCGUUGGGUGAAUUCGUGAAAACUCAGCUUCUUUCCCAGGUCCCACCCUGAACAUGGACUUGCGAUUCUGUGAGAUGAUGUCACAACCUAAACAGAAAGAGAAGAGAGAGAGAGCUGAACAUGGACGUUCACAGUCUCUGCUGUCUGGCUGCAGAAACCCCGUGUAUCGCUACCUCGCGCUCCCGCUGCUCCCGUGAUACACUGCAUCCCGUCAUGCCAUGAACCUAUACAAUCCCUUCUUUCCCUAAGUUGUCUCUGCCUGCUAUUUGCCACAUCAGUGAAAAAUGAAAGUACAUAGAAAACGCA